rnacentral:rRNA from 1 species
CCUACGGGAGGCAGCAGUGAGGAAUAUUGGUCAAUGGACGAGAGUCUGAACCAGCCAAGUAGCGUGAAGGAUGACUGCCCUAUGGGUUGUAAACUUCUUUUAUAUGGGAAUAAAAUGUUCCACGUGUGGGGUUUUGUAUGUACCAUAUGAAUAAGGAUCGGCUAACUCCGUGCCAGCAGCCGCGGUAAUACGGAGGAUCCGAGCGUUAUCCGGAUUUAUUGGGUUUAAAGGGAGCGUAGGUGGAUUGUUAAGUCAGUUGUGAAAUUUUGCGGCUCAACCGUAAAAUUGCAGUUGAAACGGGCAGUCUUGAGUACAGUAGAGGCGGGCGGAAUGCGUGGUGUGGCGGUGAAAUGCGUAGAUAUCACGAAGAACUCCGAUUGCGAAGGCAGCUCACUGGACUGCAACUGACACUGAGGCUCGAAAGUGUGGGUAUCAAACAGGAUUAGAUACCCUGGUAGUC